rnacentral:tRNA from 1 species
GGUUCCAUAGUGUAGCGGUUAGCAUUUCUGCUUUACAUGCAGAAAGUCUGGGUUCGUGCCCCAGUGGGGCAA